UUUUCUGAUCAUGCUUGGUUGUGAUAUGAUGUGGAUGAAUGGCCAUAGGGAUUCAUUAGUGGAGCAGCCUGUGGAUGAAUGGUCAUAGGUGUUCAUUAGUGGAGCAGCCUGUGGAUGGAUUGUCAUAGGGGUUCAUUAGUGGAGCAGCCCGUGGAUGGAUGGCCAUAGGUGUUCAUUAGUGGAGCAGCCUGUGAAUGGAUGGCCAUAGGGAGUCCAAGGCUCUGAUUUCCCCUCUGAUUUAAGCUCAGACAGGUAUCAGAACAGACAGGGAUCAGAGCAGACAGGUAUCAGAGCAGACAGGGACCAGAGCAGACAGGUAUCAGAGCAGACAGGGAUCAGAGCAGACAGGGAUCAGAG
ensembl:lncRNA